CCUANGGGGGGCUGCAGUGAGGAAUCUUCCGCAAUGGGCGAAAGCCUGACGGAGCGACACCGCGUGGAGGAUGAAGGCGUUUUCGUUGUAAACUCCUUUUCUGGGGGAAUAACUGAUGAAGGUACCCCAGGAAUAAGCACCGGCUAACUACGUGCCAGCAGCCGCGGUAAUACGUAGGGUGCAAGCGUUAUCCGGAAUCAUUGGGCGUAAAGCGUUCGUAGGUUGUUUGAAAAGUUUGUAGUUAAAUCCGGUCGCUCAACGGUCGGUAGGCUAUAAAAACUCUCAGACUUGAGAACAGUAGAGGCAGCUGGAAUUCCACAUGUAGGGGUAAAAUCCGUUGAUAUGUGGAGGAACACCAAAAGCGAAGGCAGGUUGCUGGACUGUUUCUGACACUGAGGAACGAAAGCGUGGGGAGCAAACAGGAUUAGAUACCCCUNUANUC
rnacentral:rRNA from 1 species